rnacentral:rRNA from 1 species
AGCGAACGUUAGCGGCGGGCCUAACACAUGCAAGUCGAACGCGAAAGGUCUUCGGACUGAGUAGAGUGGCGCACGGGUGAGUAACACGUAGGUAAUCUACCCUUUGGCGGGGGAUAACGUUCCGAAAGGAGCGCUAAUACCGCAUAAGACCACGGAGUCUCCGGACGCUGUGGGAAAAGGUGGCCUCUUCUUGAAAGCUACCACCGAAGGAUGAGCCUGCGUCCCAUCAGCUAGUUGGUAAGGUAAUGGCUUACCAAGGCGAAGACGGGUAGCUGGUUUGAGAGAAUGAUCAGCCACACUGGCACUGGAACACGGGCCAGACUCCUACGGGAGGCAGCAGUGAGGAAUAUUGGGCAAUGGGCGAAAGCCUGACCCAGCCACGCCGCGUGAGGGAUGAAGGCCUCGGUCGUAACCUACUUUCUGGGAGAAGAGACAAGGAC